rnacentral:rRNA from 1 species
UACGUAGGGUGCAAGCGUUAAUCGGAAUUACUGGGCGUAAAGCGUGCGCAGGCGGUGAUGUAAGACAGUUGUGAAAUCCCCGGGCUCAACCUGGGAACUGCAUCUGUGACUGCAUCGCUGGAGUGCGGCAGAGGGGGAUGGAAUUCCGCGUGUAGCAGUGAAAUGCGUAGAGAUGCGGAGGAACACCGAUGGCGAAGGCAGCCCCCUGGGCUAACACUGACGCUCAGGCACGAAAGCGUGGGGAGCAAACAGG